UCCGAUUUGUCACCGGCAGUCUCCCUAGAGUCCCCGACAUAACUCGCUGGCAACUAGGGACAGGGGUUGCGCUCGUUAUAGGACUUAACCUGACACCUCACGGCACGAGCUGACGACAACCAUGCAGCACCUUGUAAUCUGCCCGAAGGAAAAGCUGUUUCCAGACCUGUCAGACUACAUUUAAGCCCUGGUAAGGUUCCUCGCGUAUCAUCGAAUUAAACCACAUGCUCCACCGCUUGUGCGGGCCCCCGUCAAUUCCUUUGAGUUUCAUUCUUGCGAACGUACUCCCCAGGUGGGUUACUUAUCACUUUCGCUUAGCCACUCAGUCUUGCGACCGAACAGCUAGUAACCAUCGUUUACGGCUAGGACUAC
rnacentral:misc_RNA from 1 species